rnacentral:rRNA from 1 species
CACGUAGGGCGCAAGCGUUGUCCGGAAUUAUUGGGCGUAAAGAGCUCGUAGGCGGUCUGUUGCGUCCGCUGUGAAAACUCGGGGCUUAACCCCGAGCCUGCAGUGGAUACGGGCAGACUAGAGGUAGGUAGGGGAGAAUGGAAUUCCCGGUGUAGCGGUGAAAUGCGCAGAUAUCGGGAGGAACACCGGUGGCGAAGGCGGUUCUCUGGACAGUUCCUGACGCUGAGGCGCGAAGGCCAGGGGAGCAAACGGG